CCUUCUUUUAUGCCUAAAAAGAGACUCAGCUACUCAGGAGGCUGAGCCUGGAGGAUCCCUUGAGCCCAGGAGUUCUGGUCUGUAGUGUGCUAUACCAAUUUGUGUGUUUGCACUAAGUUUGUCAUCAAUAUCAUGACCUCCUGGGAGUAUGGAGGCACCAGGUUGCCUAAGGAGGGGUGAAAGGGCCCUGGACAGAAAUGGAGCAGGUUAGAAUUUCUGUGAUGAUUAGCAGUGGGAUCGUGCCUGUGAAUAACCACUGCACUCCAGCCUGGGCAACAGAGUGAUUCCUGUCUGAA
rnacentral:SRP_RNA from 1 species